UACGUAGGGGGCUAGCGUUGUCCGGAAUCAUUGGGCGUAAAGCGCGCGUAGGCGGCCAGAUAAGUCCGGUGUGAAAGUCACAGGCUCAACCUGUGAAUGCCGCUGGAAACUGUCUGGCUAGAGUCCGGAAGGGGCGAGUGGAAUUCCUGGUGUAGCGGUGAAAUGCGCAGAUAUCAGGAGGAACACCAAUGGCGAAGGCAGCUCGCUGGGACGGUACUGACGCUGAGACGCGAAAGCGUGGGGAGCAAACAGG
rnacentral:rRNA from 1 species